GCAAUACAGAUUGAUGGCGACCGGCGCACGGGUGAGUAACGCGUAUGCAACUCACCUAUCAGAGGGGGAUAGCCCGGCGAAAGUCGGAUUAAUACCCCAUAAAACAGGGGUCCCGCAUGGGAAUAUUUGUUAAAGAUUCAUCGCUGAUAGAUAGGCAUGCGUUCCAUUAGGCAGUUGGCGGGGUAACGGCCCACCAAACCGACGAUGGAUAGGGGUUCUGAGAGGAAGGUCCCCCACAUUGGUACUGAGACACGGACCAAACUCCUACGGGAGGCAGCAGUGAGGAAUAUUGGUCAAUGGCCGAGAGGCUGAACCAGCCAAGUCGCGUGAAGGAAGAAGGAUCUAUGGUUUGUAAACUUCUUUUAUAGGGGAAUAAAGUGGAGGACGUGUCCUUUUUUGUAUGUACCCUAUGAAUAAGCAUCGGCUAACUCCGUGCCAGCAGCCGCGGUAAUACGGAGGAUGCGAGCGUUAUCCGGAUUUAUUGGGUUUAAAGGGUGCGUAGGUGGUGAUUUAAGUCAGCGGUGAAAGUUUGUGGCUCAACCAUAAAAUUGCCGUUGAAACUGGGUUACUUGAGUGUGUUUGAGGUAGGCGGAAUGCGUGGUGUAGUGGUGAAAUGCAUAGAUAUCACGCAGAACUCCGAUUGCGAAGGCAGCUUACUAAACCAUAACUGACACUGAAGCACGAAAG
rnacentral:rRNA from 1 species